GACGAACGCUGGCGGCGUGCUUAACACAUGCAAGUCGAACGGUAAGGCCCUUCGGGGUACACGAGUGGCGAACGGGUGAGUAACACGUGGGUGAUCUGCCCUGCACUUCGGGAUAAGCCUGGGAAACUGGGUCUAAUACCGGAUAGGACUCCGGACUGCAUGGUCUGGGGUGGAAAGCUUUUGCGGUGUGGGAUGGGCCCGCGGCCUAUCAGCUUGUUGGUGGGGUGAUGGCCUACCAAGGCGACGACGGGUAGCCGGCCUGAGAGGGUGACCGGCCACACUGGGACUGAGAUACGGCCCAGACUCCUACGGGAGGCAGCAGUGGGGAAUAUUGCACAAUGGGCGCAAGCCUGAUGCAGCGACGCCGCGUGAGGGAUGACGGCCUUCGGGUUGUAAACCUCUUUCAGCACCGACGAAGCGCAAGUGACGGUAGGUGCAGAAGAAGGACCGGCCAACUACGUGCCAGCCGCCGCGGUAA
rnacentral:rRNA from 1 species